UUCUCUUGAGUUCUUGUUUCACCUCAUCCUUUUUUUUCCUUCCGUCUCGGUCCUAAGAUCUCGGGACGAGAUCUCUUGUUAGUGGAGGAGUGUUGUAACGCCCCGGAUUCGAUGCGCCAGGUGCCUGCCAGUUAUUCGUCGUUGUUGCCAUGUCAUUUGCUUGCGUGUUGCACUUUGCCAUGUCAUCAUAUGCAUUUCAUAUCAUGUCAUCAUGUGCAUCUCAUUUUGCAUACAUGUUCGUCUCAUGCAUCCGAGCUUUUUCCCCGUUGUCCGUUUUGCAAUCCGGCGCUCCUAUGUCCUCCGACGUCUCCCUCUUCUCUCUUUUCGUGUGCGGGUGUUAAACUUUCUCGGAAUGGCCCGAGGUUUGCCAAGCGGCCUUGGUAUAGCACCGGUAGACCGCCUGUCAAGUUUCGUGCCAUUUGGAAUCCGUUUGAUACUCCAACGGUUGACCGGGUAACCGUAAAGCCCUCUUUUGUUGAAGCCGAACACCCCUUCCAAAGUGGCCCAAAACCCACCAAACUCCCCUCCAUGCUCUCGGUCGUUCGAUCACGAUCGCGUGGCCGAAAACCGCACCUCAUUUGGACUCUCCUAACUCCCUCUACCUAUAUAAAGGCCCUCCCCUUCCAUUUUCGCGGAUGAAAAUCCCCCCUAACCCUAGUUUUCCUCCUCACGCCGCUGGACACGUCCGCCCGCGCCGGACACGUCCAGCCGCCACCUCACCCCAACCAAUCACGUUGCGACAUGUCACCUCCUCCGCCGCCUCAGCCACUCAUGCGCCGCCACGUCGCCCCGCGCCGCCCUCCACCGNNNNNNNNNNNNNNNNNNNNNNNNNNNNNNNNNNNNNNNNNNNNNNNNNNNNNNNNNNNNNNNNNNNNNNNNNNNNNNNNNNNNNNNNNNNNNNNNNNNNNNNNNNNNNNNNNNNNNNNNNNNNNNNNNNNNNNNNNNNNNNNNNNNNNNNNNNNNNNNNNNNNNNNNNNNNNNNNNNNNNNNNNNNNNNNNNNNNNNNNNNNNNNNNNNNNNNNNNNNNNNNNNNNNNNNNNNNNNNNNNNNNNNNNNNNNNNNNNNNNNNNNNNNNNNNNNNNNNNNNNNNNNNNNNNNNNNNNNNNNNNNNNNNNNNNNNNNNNNNNNNNNNNNNNNNNNNNNNNNNNNNNNNNNNNNNNNNNNNNNNNNNNNNNNNNNNNNNNNNNNNNNNNNNNNNNNNNNNNNNNNNNNNNNNNNNNNNNNNNNNNNNNNNNNNNNNNNNNNNNNNNNNNNNNNNNNNNNUCGCGCCGCCGCCUCGCAACCCGUGCAUGAAGGUUGACUUCCCCCCCUCUGUAAAACGCCUAAGUCCCCGUUUCUGUGUAAAUAAUCAUGCCAUGUUCAUCGCAUCACAUCUCUGCAUCCGUAGCUCCGUUUCGUGCGUAUAAUAUGUCAAAUUGUUCGUCUAAACGAGUACUUCAUUUCAUUCCAUUGCAUCAUUUUCAUUUAAUAUCAUCUUGAUGCCAAAAAUGCUAUUGGAAGAGUGCAUGUUGAUAUUAAUCUGCUGAAACUGUUAUAACUUGCUCAUUUAUCAUUUUUGCCAUGAUUGAUGUGUGCAUCCUAUGAGGUUGAUGUCUUCAUGUGUGUUGAUCUAUGCCAUGCCAUCUUUCCAGGGGUGCCAACCAUGUAUUUUUGUGAGUUGUGUGCUGAGUGUAUCAAGCUUGCUAAGUAGGGUAGUUGCUGUUGCUGUUUUCCUAACAGAUUCUGUUAUAUUUUGUUGCUAUGUUAACAUGCUUCUACAAGUCAUUUCGUGCAUAAUCUGGAGAUGCUCUAUAAACAUGUUUUGAUAUACAUGUAAUGCUCUAUCCAUUCAUGCCCUUGGUUGCAAUUAUAGCCUGCUGUAGCUUGUUGUAAACUUGCUCCAAAAUUGCUUGAUAAUGUUGCUGUCAACCGGUUAACAUUAAGUUCAAUGUUUCCAUGAUUGUUUCCUAGUGAUCCAUGCACCCUAUGACCUUGCUAUUGCCAUGCUUAGCUUCACAAACAUGCCUUCUUACUGUUGGUUGCCUUGCCAUGCCAUGUAUUGCUCUGUGGUGAGUGGUACAAGCUCACCAACAUGCCUACUUAUUGUUGUUCCUGCCAUGUUUGAAUCUGUAAUAUAAUUUGCCAUGUUUACAUGGGUGCCAUCAUAUUUUCUGAUCCUUUUUGGCUCAUGGUCAGUAAGGGACUGUUGUUCUAUGCAUUUAGUAGUAUCAUGCCAUGCCUUUGUUUGCCAUGGUAGCUUCCUGUAACAUGUUGUUUGAUAGCUCUAAACAUUGCAUCCUGAUGUUAUUUCUGCUAAAGUCUGAAACUGUUAUUAUUUGCAAUAUCUCCCUGUCUUUUUGAGCAUGUUCUAGUUGUUUCUGGAGAUAGCUCAGUGUUCAUGUUUUGUUAUGCUUUACGUGUACUUCAUGCCCAUGCCUUUUGUUAUUUUGUUGGGAUGCUGUAGCAUAUUGCUUUGAUGCUUAUAAGAUGCCUAGUUGCUGUUAUGGACAGAUUGUUGUUAUGACUUGUAUAGUGUGCAUGUGUUGAACGGUUGCUCCGUUUUGAGUGUGCUCUAUAUGAAACUUGCUUAAUCGUGCAUGUUGUUUCAUAUUAUCAUGUUGCAUCCUUGUUUUGGGUGUGUUUGCUUGAUGUUUGGGUGCAUUUUGCAUCAAUGCCAUGUUUAACUUGUUUUGCUCAUAUCUUCUAGGCCGUAGCUCCGAAUCUAAUGAACUUUAUAUGUAACUUGACUAGAAUUUCGUGUAGAUCAUCUGGGUGCCCCUUAACUUGCUGUUUAACUACUUGAACUUAAGGUUUAUUCAGUUCUGGACCAAUUUCGAAAUUUGCAUAUGAGGACUUACCGGAAUUGUUAUAUGUUGUUCCCGGCCUCAUUUAAACUUGCCUUGAUGUGUUGUUCUUGUUUGCAUCAUCUCUUCCCAUGAGUGGCUUCAUCUAGCUUUGUCAUGCAUCAUGCUUGUUGUGCAUCAUGCCUUGUUCAUGGGUGGUGUGUUUACCAUGUUGUGUGCUUCUUCUCGAUAGUUCCCGUUUCGUUGCGAUCGUGAGGAUUCGUUCGUGUACAGUUGGUUCGGCUUCAUCCGUUCGUCUUCUUCAUGGACUCGUUCUUCUUCCUUGCGGGAUUUCAGGCAAGAUGACCGCUACCCUGGAUCUCACUACUAUCAUUGCUAUGCUAGUUGCUUCGUUCUAUCGCUAUGCUGCGCUACCUAUUACCUGUUUAUCAAGCCAUCCCAUAUUGCAAUGAACCUCUAACCUUUGACACCUUUCCUAUGCAAACCGUUGUUUGGCUAUGUUACCGCUUUGCUCAGCCCCUCUUAUAGCGUUGCUAGCUGCAGGUGAAGUUGAAGAUUUCUCCAGGGUGGACAGGGUUAUGUUGGGAUAUCACAAUAUCUCUUAUAUUAUUAAUGCAUCUAUAUAUUUGGUAAAGGGUGGAAGGCUCGGCCUUAUGCCUGGUGUUUUGUUCCACUCUUGCCGCCCUAGUUUCCAUCAUACCGGUGUUAUGUUCCCAGAUUUUGCGUUCCUAACGCGGUCGGGUGAUUUAUGGGACCCCCCUGACAGUUCGCUUUGAAUAAAACUUGUCCAGCAAGGCCCAACAUUGGUUUUACCAUUUGCCUCACCACCACCUAUACCUUUCCCUUGGGUCGGCCAACCCGAGGGUCAUCUUUAUUUUAGCCCCCCCCGGGCCAGUGCUUGUCUAAGUGUUGGUCCGAACCGAGCCGCCUGCGGGGCCACCUCGGGGAAACUCGAAGUCUGGUUUUACUCGUAGCCUGUCUCAUCCGGUGUUGCCUUGAGAACGAGAUAUGUGUAGCUCCUAUCGGGAUUGUCGGCGCAUCGGGCGGUCUUGCUGGUCUUGUUUUACCAUUGUCGAAAUGUCGUGUAAACCGGGAUUCCGAGACUGAUCGGGUCUUCCUGGGACAAGGUCUAUUCCUUCGUUGAUCGCGAGAGCUUGUCAUGGGCUAAGUUGGGACACCCCUACAGGGUAUAAACUUUCGAGAGCCGUGCCCGCGGUUAUGUGGCAGAUGGGAAUUUGUUAAUGUCCGGUUGUAGAUAACUUGACACUUGAUCCGAAUUAAAACGCAUCAACCGCGUGUGUAGCCGUGAUGGCCUCUUCUCGGCGGAGUCCGGGAAGUGAACACGGUUUCUGGGUUAUGUUUGACGUAAGUAGGUGUUCAGGAUCACCUCUUGAUCAUUGCUAGCUUCACGACCGUUCCUUUGUUUCUCUUCUCGCUCUCAUUUGCGUAUAUUAGCCACCAUACUUGCUUAGUCGCUGCUGCAACCUCACCACUUUACCCCUUCCUUUCCCAUUAAGCUUUGCUAGUCUUGAUACCCAUGGUAAUGGGAUUGCUGAGUCCUCGUGGCUCACAGAUUACUACAACAACAGUUGCAGGUACAGGUUAUACGAUGAACUUGACGCGAGAGCGAUACUUGCUUGUUUUGGAGUUUCUUCUUCUGCUUCUUCGAUCAGGGGAUAGGUUCCAGGUCGGCAGCCUGGGCUAGCAGGGUGGAUAUUGUUUGUGUUUCCGUUUAUGUAUCAUCCGUAGUCGGAUGUUGAUCUCUUGUAUGAUGUAUUGUUGUAUUCGGGUGGCAUUGUAUGCCUUAUGUAUGUAUCCCCAUCUAUUAUGUAAUGUUGAUGUAAUGAUAUCCACCUUGCAAAAGCGUUUCAAUAUGCGGGUCUAUCCUUAUUGGGACCUUCGAGUUCCUUUUGGAUAGGGUCGCAUAUUGGGCGUGACAGUAGCCCCUGAUGCUCGGUUCGGUGUUCGGGAAGAAAAACCGGACUGAGGAUCUUAUAAAGAUAUAUGCAGGAGUUCUAAAAAAUAUGUCAAUAUGGGAUUGCAGGCUGCGCUGCUGACCUCUGUCGCACUGACUGCGGAGGUCGAUGCUUUGAAGCAGAACCUCGAGCGGCCCAAGAGCGAGCUCGGCCGUGCCAAGAAGCAGCUCGAGGAUAAUGAAGGUGAGUAACACCGUAUUAAAUUUGUACCUUACAGAAAAGGAUUUUGGUUGCAAGAAAAAUAACAAGGAUAACAUGGGUACUUCAGGGGCCACGAACAAGGUGGCGACCCUGAAGGAGGCCAUGUCCGCGGCCGAACAUAAUGCGGCCGCGGAACGAGCGGAGCGGGAGAAGCAGGAGGCGGGUGGCGGAGGUGCAGCAAGAGCUCCAGGCUCUCGUGGAAAAGCAUGAGAGUUUGGAGCGCGACUCGAAGACUCGAGAGUCCGAGCUUGCCUUGGCUCUUGAGAGUGCCAAAGCCGCUAAGGCCGAAGCCCAUAAGGCCCUUCAGGAAGUCGAGGCGGUGAAGAAAAUAGCGGCGGGUAAGGCAUUUUUCAUGCAAAGCAAGCAUGUGAAUGUGAAUUACCUGAUACUUACCCGAAUUCGAAGCUCUCCUGGAGCGUUUGCAGAUCUGCCUCGCAGCGUGUUCGAUGCUGCCGCAUUCUACCGAGACGAGGAGGGGAGCUCGAUGGAGAAGGUCUUCUGGUCUCAGUAUGCUGAGGCCGGACAUCCGGGCCCCUUAGCGACCAGCUGAAGCAGCUGGUCGAGCUCCACAAGGUAGCCGAACAGGCCAUGAAGGGCCUCAUAGUUCGGGUGUGGCCCAAGGAGGCCAUGCCUGGGAGCUACUUCGGCCUGGUGCGGCGGCUGGUGGAUGCGUGUCCCUGGGUGGAAGUCGUCAAGCACUCUUCCUGCAUUAAAGGUGCCCGUCGGGCCCUUGCCCGUGCAAAGGUGCACUGGGCAGGAUGGACGCUGAGAAGCUUCUAACGGACGCGCCGCCGGAGGGCAAGGAGUAUCGCACGCCCGAAAUGUAUUAUAAGAGUGUCCUGAAGGGAGCCCGCAAGAUUGCGGAUGAGUGCUCCAAGGAUGUAAUAUUUGAGUAGAAUCGCAUUAUGUUAUCCUUUGCGCUGAAAACUGUGUUCAUAUGCGCUAAGCAACACUUAUUAAUUUAAAAUAUUACCUUUUGUGCGGCCGUUUAUCAAAUGUGAGAGAUGGCAAGUCGUCGGCUUCAGCCCCCAUGCCACUAGUGCUGGGGUGUUCGGGAUAAACUUGAGCACUCUUGUUCCCAUGUUUGGGUCCAUCUAGGGAGGCGGUCAACACAACGAAUGAGGCAACUUGACUUAUAACGCUUAAACACUCUCACUUAGCCAUAGAAUUCUAUAAUUUUAAAUUUCGGCGAAGCCCCUAGUGUUCGGAAGACCGAGUUCGGCGCGCUAUCCACGCCUGGGCCGGACAAAGCCGGUUCCUCGCUCUAAGCGGCAUAAGUCUUUAGGGACUCGAAAAAACCUCUCGAAUAGCGACCAGCUCUCGCCUUAUCAUGACGGUCAGUUUUAGCUUUCUCCACUGAGGCGCUCGCCCAGCUCAACCGGGGCGCAAUCGCAGUGGUUCUCCCAGUGCUACCUUAGCCGAUAAAACAAAACGUAAGGUACCAAAACAUGGGAGCCGGGCAAACCCAACUAUUAACCCAAGACAUGAUUCGGAGCCGAUGCAUAUAAUGCUAUAAUUCGAGGUGCCGCACUUGUGAAAGUGUCGGACUUAUCACACCAUAAUGCGGGGAACUUAAGCCCUUGUGUAUUCGGCCGUACCAAAGUGUACGGGUGCAACAUGUCAUAAACGAACAUAUAUAAGAAAGAAAUGCAAUUAUAAGCAAAAAGCGAUGCAUUGUUUUCCAGAAAUACUGCCAUGAAUGCAAAGCGAUACAAAUAGUGCGGUAAGCAAAGGAUCGGACUAUUAAACAUGUCGCCCUCCAGGGGUAGGGUGCGGAAUGGUGUAUUAAACAGAUUUAAUGCUCGUAAUGGAGACCACCUGAGUGUUUGUCGUAGCCUUUCUCCUUCCUUGGCUGUUGCAUCAUGAGUUCGGCAGGUCUACUGCCGGACAGGGCCUCUAGUGAAUGGGGUCCUGUGGGUAAGAAAAAAAGAAAAAGGAAAAGACCGACAUACUUGGGAGCCCCUGGUGUGGUUAAGCCGCACUCUGGGCCUAUCGUGGUCGUGCCCCUCCCCCUAUGCCCAUGGUAUCUCCAGAGCGUAAUGAUGUACGUGAAGGACUGGUCUUGCAAUUGUGCAAGGGCAGGGGUUGGGGCCGCAUUGCUACGCGUGCUCGGAACGUGCCAAGUGGUCUUGUUGUAUGUUACUCCAGGUGCGUUUGGCCGUGUCCAGUCGUUUAACGGACGGACUCGAAAAUUGCCUCAAGAGGCUGCUCUGUACUUCUGCCGAGAGAGCCGCUGUGUGUUCCUCCGUUCGGAGGGAGCGUUCAGUGUUUCUGUUGACCGUGAUGACUCCUCGCUUGGCAAAUUGAGCUUGAGGUAUGCGUAAUGCGGCACCGCGUUGAAUUUUGCAAACGCGGUCCGUCCGAGCAGAACGUGAUAGCCGCUGCGGAACGGGACUAUGUCGAAGAUUAACUCGCUUCGGAAGUUAUCUGGGAUCCGAAGACCACUUCCAGUGUGACUGAUCCUGUACAAUUGGCCUCUACACCUGGUAUGACGCCUUUGAAGGUUGUUUUUGUAGGUUUAAUCCUUGAGGGGUCUAUGCCCAUCUUGCGCACUGUAUCCUGAUAAAGCAGGUUCAGGCUGCUGCCGCCGUCCAUCAGGACUCUAGUGAGGUGAAAUCCAUCGAUGAUUGGGUCUAAAACCAAUGCGGCGAAUCCGCCAUGGCGGAUACUGGUGGGGUGGUCCCGUCGAUCGAAAGUGAUCGGGCAAGAGGACCAUGGAUUGAACUUCAGGGCUACUGGCUCCAUCGCAUAUACAUCCCUAAGUGCACGCUUCCGCUCCCUCUUGGGCAUGUGGGUUGCGUAUAUCAUGUUUACCGUCCGCACUUGAUGGGGGAAACCCUUUUGUCCUCUACUGUUCGGCGGCCGGGUCUCUUCCUUGUCGUCGCUAUGCAGCCUCUUGUCGUUGUUUUCGGCAACUAACUUGCCUACCUGCUUGAAUACCCAACAAUCCCUGUUGGUGUGAUUAGCUGGCUUUUCGGGGGUGCCAUGUAUCUGGCAAGAGCGGUCGAGUAUUCGGUCCAAAUUGGACGGACCCGGAGUAGUUCUUUUGAAUGGCUUUUUCCACUGACCGGGUUUGGAGCCUCUGAAUCCGGCGUUGACUGCCGUAUCCUUAGUGUUAUCGCCGUUAACGCGGCGUUUGUUUUUGUUGCGACGUGACCUGCCAUUGUGGUCCUUGUUGUCCGGACUGCCAGAAUUUUUGCUGAGGUUGUUACUGCGGGCUAGCCAGCUGUCCUCUCCCGUGCAGAAGCGGGUCAUGAGUGAUGUGAGGGCUGCCAUGGAUUUUGGCUUUUUCUGUCCUAGGUGCCGGGCCAGCCACUCGUCGCGGAUGUUAUGUUUGAAGGCUGCGAGGUCCUCUGCAUCCGGACAGUCGACGGUUUGAUUUUUCUUUGUUAAGAACCGUGUCCAGAAUUGUCUGGCCGAUUCGUCUGGCUAUUGAAUUAUGUGGCUUAGGUCAUCGGCGUCUGGUGGUCGCACAUAUGUGCCCUGGAAGUUGUCAAGGAAUGCGGCUUCCAGGUCCUCCCAACACCCAAUUGACUCUGCUGGCAAGCUGUUAAGCCAAUGCUGAGCUGGUCCUUUAAACUUGAGUGGGAGAUAUUUGAUGGCGUGGAGAUCGUCACCGCGGGCCAUAUGGAUAUGAAGGAGACAGUCUUCGAUCCAAACCGCGGGGUCUGUUGUGCCAUCAUAGGAUUCAAUGUUCAUGGGUUUAAACCCUUCAGGGAUUUGAUGAUCCAUUACUUCAUCUGUGAAGCAUAGUGGGUGUGCGGCGCCUCUGUAUUGGGCAAUAUCACGACGUAGCUCAAGCGACCUUUGUCUACUAUGUUCGGCCCGGCCGGAGUUGCUGUAUCCGGCGCGACGGUAAUCAUCGUGCAUCGUGGGGCGCCCACAUGAUCCGUAGAUCGAUCUUGAUUGUCUUGCCUUGUCCUCCAAUAUGUCUCGCAAGUCCGGCGCAUUCCCCCGUCGCUUCGUACUUUUCGAGCAGUGCCGGGGUACGGUUCUGGUGGAGGGCCUAGAUGCCUCUCUGUCGCAGCCACGAGGUGGUCGGUCUGCCGUAUUGUGCGCUGGUGAUGAGGGUUUAUACUCCUCCUCUAAUCGGGGGAGCAACUUGCGUUUUGGGUAGCUUUUGGAGGGGCGUUCGAGUUCAUACUCUUCGGCCGCCAGGACUUCAGUCCAUCUGUCGGCUAGCAGAUCUUGAUCAGCUCGGAGCUUUUGCUUCUUUUUUUUAGGUUGUUUGCCGUGGCCAUAAGCCUGCGUUUAAAACUCUCUUGUUUGACGGGAUCCUCGGGCACGACGAAUUCGUAAUCGUUGAGGCUUGCCUCGUCUCCGGAGGGAGGCAUGUAAUUAUCAUCCUCUACCUCUUCGUCUGCCGCUCUCUCAUGAGGGAUGGCUUCUCCGUCCUCCUGCGCUGAAUCUUGCUGGAGGGGGUUAUCUUCGGCACUCUCUGGGGUGUUAUUAUCCCCGGUGCCGGAAUCUCCAUUCUUGCUGUGGCGGGAUUUAGGGCGGCGACGCUGACGCCGGCGCUUGGGCUGUUUCUUGGAGGAAUCUGCCUCCGCUGCUUCUUCGCCAUUCCCAUCCUUUGGGAUGUCCACCAUGUAUAUGUCGUAUGACGAGGUGGUCUUCCAGUGCCCUGUAGGCGCUGGUUCUUGGUCGUCUUCGGCAUCGUCGUCCAUACCGUUGAUGUCUUCGGAGUCGUAGUCUAGCAUGUCGGUUAGAUCGUCUACAGUGGCUAAAAAGUGGGUGGUGGGUGGGCUUUGAAUUUCUUCGUCGUCCGCAUCCCAACCGUCCUGACCGCAGUCCGGCUAGGGCUCUCCUGAUAACGAGAGAUACUUUAGCGAAUUCAGGAUGUCUCCAAAGGGUGAGUGCUGAAAGAUGUCCGCAACGGUGAACUCCAUGAUCGGCGCCCAAUCGGAUUCGAUUGGUAGGGGUGCAGGAGGUUCGGAGUCCGGCGAGGAGUCCGGCACCUCGGAGUCACGGGCUUUACAAGGGACAAGUUCAGUAUUCGGCUCCAUCGCCGUAGAGGUUACAGCCCCCGAGGCGGUGUCUAGCCACCCAUCCUCGAUCUGCUCGGUCGGCUCCGAAUUAAGGGUCGGAGCGGACUCAUGUGCGGCCUCCAGGGCACUGUCCGGCAGCAGAGCUAAAUCAUGCCCAUCGUGACAGCGCGGCACGCUUGGCUGUGGCUCGAAUCCAUCGAAGAUCACAUCUCCGCGGAUGUCAGCCGUGAAGUUUACGCUUCCAAAUCUGACCUGAUGGCCAGGGUUGUAGCUUUCGAUCUGCUCCAGAUGGCCAAGCGAAUUGGCCCGCAGUGCAAAGCCGCCGAACACGAAGAUCUGUCCGGGGAGAAAAGUCUCACCCUGGACUGCGUCAUCGUUGAUGAUCGAAGGAGCCAUCAAGCCUAUCGGUGACGACACAUAGGAACUCUCAAUGGAAGCACCAAUGUCGGUGUCAAAACCGGCGGAUCUCGGGUAGGGGGUCCCGAACUGUGCGUCUAGGCGGAUGGUAACAUGAGACAAGGGACACGAUGUUUUUACCCAGGUUCGGGCCCUCUCGAUGGAGGUAAAACCCUACUCCUGCUUGAUUGAAAUUGAUGAUAUGGGUAGUACAAGAGUGAAUCAAGGAGGCUAAACCCUAGAAGCUAGCCUAUGGUAUGAUUGUUGUAAUGGUUGUUCGUCCUACGGACAAAAACCCUCCGGUUUAUAUAGACACCAGAGAGGGCUAGGGUUACACAGAGUCGGUUACAAUGGUAGGAGAUCUACAUAUCCGUAUUGCCAAGCUUGCCUUCCACGCAAAGGAAAGUCCCAUCCAGACACGGGACAAAGUCUUCAAUCUUGUAUCUUCAUAAUCUUGGAGUCCGGCCGACGAUGAUAGUCCGGCUAUCCGGACAUCCCCUAGUCCAGGACUACCUCACCGGGCCUUGGAAUUUGUCAAGGAUUGGUAUCCAGGGCUAGACCUGGACCGGCUGGCCGCGUUCCGGUCAGAGGCCCAGGCAGAGCUAGUGGCUGUGGAAGGCGCCCUCGUCGAGCGUGCUGCGGCGAUCGCCAACUACACCGAUACCAGCGUCUUCGUUCCAGAGCGGGCCGCGAAUGGCGAAGAGGUGUCGCCGGAGUGGUUCGGGAUGAACCCGGACUACGACGAGGACUCAGCGGAGGUGAUCGACUCUAGUGCGGAGGAGGAAGACGAGGGAGACGAGGGGGAGGUCGGAGGCGCCAUAAGACGGAGCGGACGACCAGCCUCAGCUCGACCGUGCCUCCAGCAACGAGCCGCGUCCGACUAGGCCGGCCGCCACCGGAGACGAUCAAACCGAGACUGCCCAGUCGGCCGCUCUGGCACCUGACACCGCCGUCUCCGCCGACCCUCUGAACCCGCCUGCCGCUUCUUAGGCUACCGUCUUGUCUUUAUUUUAUCUGCUUUUUAUAGUCUUUGAAGAACUUGUUAAUUUGCACAAUCCCACCCGCGGGGUGUAUUUUGAACUUGGCCAGAGGCCUAUGUUAUGUAAAUAUCUAUCCGACAUCUAUCUUUCCUUGCUCAUAGCUCUUUUGUCUUUUUCCUUUGCCGCCUUUCCACAGUCGCCGCUUUGCCAGACGGACAACCGCUCUGCGGACUGCCGCUGGGUCAAAUGCUCGGCUACCUUAGGGAAGGCAAGUACUUGGCCUUUUUUAGAGUCUUUUAACAAGUUGGAUAGAAGGCGGCAAGCCGACUAUUCGAGAGUCGGCUCUGCAAAGAGAGGCUGGAAGCCAGCUUGGGCUAUGCUUAUGCUUUGAGUCCUUAGCACUUUUUUCGUGUGGCCGCUCAUUCUUGCUUACUCUCUGCCUACCAACAGUCGCUCUGCGAGCUGCGGCUUCUGACAGGAGACAGCUUAAGCACCGCGCACUACUUGUCCGACUGCAGGAAGCAUUUGAUAGCGCAAGACAGCGAGUCCCCGGGCCGUCUAGUCGAACCCGGUGCCAAGCAGCAUAACAAAGAGUAGCAUACUCGAAGGCAUAAUACUUAUCAUACAGAUAACAACAAAAGGGGCAAUCCCCGAGCUCGUCUCGGGGGGGCCAAAGUCUUGGUACUUUAAUACAAAGGAUAGCGUGGUACAUACUUCAUACACUGUAACAUCUUCGGAGGAGAUUUGCGUUCCAUGGUCGUUCCGACUCUUUGCCGGAGUCGUCCCUCUUGCGUUCUGGGCGUCGAUUAGGUAGCAGGAGUCGUUGCCUAGUACUUUGCUGAUGAUGAAGGGGCCUUCCCAAGGAGCCGACAACUUGUGCUGGCCGGCUGUUCGCUGGAUCAGCCGGAGCACAAGGUCGCCCUCUUGGAUAGAUCUCGGCCUGACCUUCCUGUUGUAGUAUCGGCGCAGACUCUGCUGGUAGAUGCUGGACCGGCUGAGUGCCAACAGCCGGCCCUCUUCCAGCAGAUCGACGCCGUCUUGACGUGCUUCUACUGCUUCCUCUUCGGUGUACAUGGUGACUCGUGGAGAGUCGAACUCUAUGUCCGUCGGGAUGACGGCUUCGGCACCGUUGACGAGGAAGAAAGGCGUGAAGCCGGUUGACUUGUUUGGAGUCGUGUGUAGACUCCAGAGGACGGCUGGCAGCUCCUCAAGCCAACAGCCGGCCGAACGCUCGAGUGGUUCGACCAGUCGAGGCUUGAUGCCAGAUAGGAUGAGGCCGUUUGCUCGCUCCACAUGGCCGUUUGACUGCGGAUGGGAAACGGACGCUAAGUCCAGUCGGAUGCCCUGUGUCGCGUAGAAACGGGCCAAGGCGCCUUUGGAAAAAUUUGUGCCCUUGUCGGUGAUGAUGCUGUGUGGUAUGCCGUACCGAACUGUGAUGUCGGCGAUGAAAGUCACUGCAGUCGGACCAUUCAACUUCUUGAUGGGCUUUGCUUCUAUCCACUUGGUAAACUUGUCCACUGCGACGAGUAAGUGAGUUAGGCCGCCUUGGGCCGUCUUGAAUGGUCCCACCAUGUCCAGGCCCCAAACUGCAAAGGGCCAGGCGAUGGGGAUUGUCUUCAGCGCAGAAGACGGCUGAAGCGGCUUGGAGCGGAACUUCUGGCACCCCUUGCUUUUUUGGACUAAUUCCUUGGCCUCUUCUAGGGCAGUUGGCCAGAAGAAACCGUGCUCAAAUGCUUUGGCAACAAGUGCUCUUGAAGCCGCAUGGUGGCCGCACUCACCUUGGUGGAUGUCUCUGAGAAUUGCUUGGCCUUGCUCUGGCUCUACGCAGCGCUGGUAGACACCGGUGAUGCUGCGCCUGACCAGCUCUCUGUUGAUUAUGUUGUAAGCUGCCGCUCGGCGUUGUACUUGCCGAGCCAAAAUUUGAUCAGUUGGCAGCUCUUUGUUCACUAGAAACUUGAGGAUGGGUUGCGCCCAUGAGGGUGCUGCUAUUUCUUCAACCGCCACCACUGCGACUUGGACAAGGGCAACUGGGCUGGGAGGCGGCGGGCUGGAGUCUGCGGCCGCUUGCUGGAUUGACGAAGUCCCCGGGCCGACUGGCACAGUCCCCGGGCCGACUGGCGCAGUCCCUGGGCCGAGUUCUGGAGUCUUUGGUCUGGUUGCCGCAGUCCCCGAGCCGGGUUCUGAAGUCCCCGGGCCGGCUUCAACUGCGACUUUCUUGGAGCCGUCUAUAAGAAUUCUCGUGCCGUCUGCUGGGGCUCUUGAGUCGGAUCUGACUUCUUCGGGGGGAGCCGGCACAAAGAUGGAGUCUGAUUCGGGUGAGGGCUUGAUAGACGGUUUGAGGAGGCGCUGAAGAGCGAUGCCUGAUGGUAUCGCUUGGCGGUUGGAGCCGACUCGUGCCAAGGCGUCUGCUUGGUUGUUGUCAUUUCUUGGCACGUGAAGGAACUCGCACCCCUUGAAGUAUCCGCUGAGUUGCUGCACCAGGAAACGGUAGUUUGCCAUGUUUGCAUCUUUGGCGUCCCAGUCGCCAGAUGACUGCUGGACCACCAAAUCGGAGCCGCCAUAGCACAGGAUCCGGCGAAUGCCAAGUUCUUUGGCAAGCCGGAGCCCGUGAAUGAGCGCUUCGUAUUCGGCGACGUUGUUGGAGGUGGCGAAGUGGAUCUGCAGCGCAUACUUCAGCUUGUCGCCUUUGGGGGAGGUGAGGACGACGCCGACUGCCAAGCCGGUGCGCAUCUUGGAGCCGUCGAAAUGCAUCCGCCAAUGGGUGGAGUCGGGCGCUGGCGGCAGGUACUGGGUCUCGGCCCAGUCGGCGAGGAAGUCGGCCAGCGCUUGCGACUUGAUGGCAGUGCGGGGCUGGUAGUAGAUGGUGUAGGGAGCCAACUCUAUGGCCCAUUUGACCACUCGGCCAGAAGCGUCUCGGCUCCGAAUGAUCUCGGCCAGCGGGGCUGUGCAAACCACCGUGAUUGGAUGCUCUUGAAAGUAAGGCUUCAACUUCUUGGCGGCAAAAUGCACACUGUUGCACAUCUUCUGGUAGUGGGGGUAGUUCUGCUUGGAGGUUGACAGUACCUCGCUCAGGUAAUAUACCGGUCUCUGGACAGGGAGCUCCUUGCCUUCCUCUUUGCGUUCGACUACAAUGACUGUGCUGACUACUCGGCUGGUGGCGGCGAUGUAUAGGAGCAUGGGCUCUUUAGGAGUCGGAGCCGCCAACACAGGGGGAGUAGUCAACAUCUUCUUCAGCUGGAGAACUGCUUCAUCCGCCUUGUGGUUCUACUCAAAAAAGGUGGUCUUCUUCAUCAGUUGGUACAAAGGGAGGGCCUUCUCGCCCAGCCGACUGAUGAAUCAGCUGAUGGAUGCCAAGCAGCCGGUGAACUUCUGCACAUCUAACAGUCGGCUGGGUACCUCCAUCCUCUCGAUGGCCUUGAUCUUCACAGGGUUGCACUCUAUGCCGCGUUCGGAGACCAGGAAGCCAAGGAGCUGGCCGACUGGUACUCCAAAGACACAUUUUUCAGGAUUGAGCUUGAUCUGGAAUCGGCGUAGGUUUUCAAAGGAUUCUUUGUGGUCUUCCAUCAGCGUCCCACGCUUCUCCGUCUUCACCACUACAUCAUCCACGUAGACGUGGGCGUUUCUGCCGAGUUGCUUGAGGAGGCACUUCUGCAUGCAACGCUGAAAGGCGGCGCCGGCAUUCCUCAAGCCGAACAUCAUGGUUAGGUAGCAGAAGGCUCCGAAUGGCGUGAUGAAGGCAGUCUUCAGUCUGUCUGCUGGGCUCAACUUGAUCUAGUGAUACCCUGAAUAUGCAUCUAAGAAGCUCAACAGCUCGCAUCCGGCUGUGGAGUCUAUCACCUGAUCGAUUCUCGGUAGAGCAAACGGGUCCUUGGGGCUGGCUUUGUUGAGGCUUGUCUAGUCUAUACACAUCCGCCACUGCUUGUUCUUCUUCAGCACCAAGACCGGGUUUUCCAGCCACUCUGGAAAAAAUACUUCCAUAAUGAAGCCGGCGGCUAGGAGCUGGGCUAUCUCUUCUCCUAUGUCUUCUCUUCUGACAGUCGGCGCAAAGGCUGCCUGUCGGGCUUCACAUCAGGUCGGACGUGUAGCUUGUGCUCGGCGAAUUCCGUCGGUACACCUGGCAUGUCUUUAGGGGACCAUGCAAAGAUGUCCCGAUUCUCACGGAGGAAAUCGACGAGCUCGCCUUCCUAUUUGCUGUCAAGGUUUGCACCUAUGACAGCGUACCUCUCUGGGUGCUCCGGGUCCAAGGGUAUCUUCUUGGUCUCUUUGGCCGGCUUCAACGAGCCCUCGGCUUCCGACUCCUCGGGGUCGGGCGACAUCUCUGGCUGCUUGCCGGCCAUUGCCACAACCCGGUCAAGAAGCCGCUUCUCAGCCGCGAUCACCAGGGACUCGGCCAGCUGACUGCUCUCAGCUGCACAGGCGGACGACUUCCUGUAGUCGCCGGCUACGGUCAGAAUUCCCUUGGAACUCGACAUGGGGAACUGCCAUGAACUUGGCCAAAGCAGGUCGGCCAAGUAACGCAUGGUAGGGGCUUUCAAGGUCCAGCACUUCAAACCAGACUGGCUCUCAGCGGAAAUGAUCUUUGUCUCCGAAGAGGACGUCUAUUAGGAUCUUGCCGAUUGGUGAGCAGGAAAGGCAAGGUACAAUGCCGUGGAACACAGUUCGACUGCUCUGCAGCUGUCUUUGCUUGAUUCCUAGCUUCUCCAUGGUAUCCUUGUAUAGGAUGUUGAUGCUACUGCCUCCAUCUAUCAACACUUGCGAGAAGCGAGUGGCCCACCUAUCCGUGGCCAGAGUAGCGCUCAAAACCAUGGCGUAGGAGCCUGGAUUCGGCAUCACCUCUGGGUGAUCUACUCUGCUCCAACUGAUAGGCUUCUCGGACCAAUGCAUAAACUCUGGAGUAUCUGAUGCUACUGCAUUCACCUCUUGCUGCUGCAGCCGCCUGCUGCGUCGAUCGUCAGCCACACUGGUGAACACCACAUAGGCUCCAUGCUCUUCUGGGUACUCAUCCCGUACUGCGCCGACUGGCCUGGCAGCCGGCUGCUGGGGCGGCGGUGGAGGCGGCGGCCCAACAGGCGGGGGAGGAAGGAGGCCGUCUCCCUUGGCGAUUCUUGUAAGCCAGUGGCACUUUCGGGUGGUAUGGUUUGACGGCUUUGCGCCGCUAUGGAAUUUGCAGGGACCGUCUAGAGUCUGCUCGUAAGAGAAGGCCGGCAACCAGUUGGAUUUGCCGCCUUUCUGUCGCUUUGCCGGGGGCUGCCCCUCCGGUUGUUGAUCUUCGACUGUUGGAACCUGCCGACUGCUGGAAGUCGGCUACGGGGCCUUGCGCUUGUUGUUGUUCUGUUGUUGUCGCUGACUGGCGUCUCUAGCUGGGGUUCUGGGAGCCUGGGGGGCCACUUUGCCAGCCGCGUUAACUUGAUUUUCUGUCUUCAUGGAGGAGUCGGCUGUGGCGUACUUGUCUGCUACGAUCAACAGCUCGUCGAGGGUCUCUGGCUCGUUGCAGAGUAGCCUGUGCUUGAGGAGGGUGCCUUCUCGGCACCCGGCGAUGAAGUACUCGAUAGCCUGCACCUCGUGCACGCCUUCGCAGGAGUUCUCGAGCUUGCCCCAGCGCGUGAGGUAGUCGCGUGUCGACUCGUCGGGGCAUUGUACGCACAAGGAAAGCUGGCGCGGCUUGGGAGGCCGCUUGUACGUGCUCGUGAAGUUGCGGGUGAAGGCCUCGGUGAAGUCGUCUGGCCGUCGCAGCGGCUCCGUGCGGCCGCCGGCUGCAUUCUGCGCGGCGACCGCGUCGAGGAGCUGCUGGACUCGCUCCAUCAUCAUGCUGCGCUCUUCGCCUUCAAAGUUCUUCAGCUCGUUAGUCGCCUCCUGGGUGGCGCGGAUAUUCUCCGCGGGUGUGGUGUAUACGGGGCGAUUGGCCCCGAACAGGUUGGCGAUGGUCGCGCCGCGUUGCCGGACCGCGCCUAGGCGGCUAGGCCCAGUUGGAGCCGGCAAGCUGCCCACAGCACGGUCCAUCUUAGGCUGGUAGGCUUCUGACAAGCGCCUCAUGCUUGCCAUCUUUCGGGCGCCUUCGAUGAUAUGAAGGCAGCGUGUCUCCAGCGUCUCGGCGUCUGCGUCUUCUGGAAUAGGCGCAGUCAGGUCUUGCAGAGCUACGUCGAGUGGGUCAUGAGCCCCAUCACCGGAACGCUCAUCGUGACUGAUGACGAGCACCUCUGUGACGGCGCUUCCGCCGCUCUCCUCGUGAGGGAGCGGCUCGUCGUAGACCACCAUAAUGGUGGGGAAUGCGUUGAGUGACGCGGCGUCGGAAUCGACCAGCAUCGGGUCCGUGGAGCCUACGGACUCCAAGUCCACGGCAGGCUCGCCGGUGACGUGGAGUUGGUCGAGGAGUCCUGCGAGGAGGCUCUCGGGGCCACCCGUUCCUGCGUCGGCUACAGGCUCGUCGGAGAGGCGAACCUCGCCUAUAAGUUCGGCGAGGCAGCUAGCUGUGCAGGCGGCCUCAGCGCCGCGCAGCGCGUCGAUGCAGACUCCGUCUGGCGAGCCUGGCUGGCUGCGCUCGCCAGGGAGGAAGAGGGUUCCCAUCCGGAGCAGAUCUCCGGACGACGGUGCACCUCGCCCCAUGGUGGGCGCCAAAUGUCGGGGGUUGGGUGCGACAUAUGCCAAAGGAUGGCUUAUCAUGAUGGGGGCGAGUAGAACAUCGCCGGUGCCUGGAAACGGGAUGAGGCGAAGACAUGCACGCCGGCGGAUCUUACCCAGCUUCAGGGCUCUCCGAGGAGAUAACACCCCUACUGCUGCUCUGCAGGGUCUCCGCAUGGUCACUAAGGCAAAGUGAAUACAAGGUUGCUCCUCGAGCUGUUUCUGGAAGAAGAAGAAGGCAAGGCUAGCUCUCUCCUUCCUAUAUGGUCUGUCUAGUGCUAAUGGAUUCGAACCCUUUGCAUGGGUGCCCCCGGGGGGUUUAUAUAGGCCUACCCCCCAGGGGUACAAUGGUAACACCGGCCGGGUGCGGGUCCCAGCCAUCUGUCUCCUAGGCUGCCGUCUUCUACGCCGACUCCUGGGUCCGCUGACUGGUGGGUCCCGCCGACUGGACUGGUACGAGGGUGUCAGCCCCUGUCUGCCGCGGUCGGGUCUUGUCGGCUGCAGGUUACUAUAGCCGUGCUUCUAAUGACGCUGGCUUGGUCAUGGGGUCAUGGCAACAGUGCCGCCGCCUGAUGGGCGAUCACUGUUGCCAUUCCCCCGUCGUGUCUGGUUAAUGGCAUGUGGGGCCCGUGGGAGGGGCCAGCCGACUCCUGGGGGCCGACUCCCUAUGGGUCUGACUCUCGGCGCUCUCGCCGUCUUCAGUACUCUUGCUGACUGGUAAGCCCCGUCGUCUCCGGGCCGUACAGACAGACCGUCGUGGGCACAGGGCCCCGCCCCCAAGGGCUGAUGUCAGGGGCGGCAUGGCGACAGUGCCGCGCCAGACGGAGAUCUCCAUUAGUACGGCGCACUGUGGCCAUGCCUGCCCUUAAAUAACAGGGUGGUUGGAGUUACAGGCCGACUCCUGUUAGUCGGCCACGCUGGAGUCGCCUCUGGGACUCGGCUUAGCUGAGAGUCGCCUCUGGGCCUCGGCAUAUCUUGGAGUCACCUCCUAGACUCGCGGGGCGCAGCCUGCCCUGUCGUCUUGAAAGGUUCUGGGACUCGGGUUAGCCUACCCGUGGCCCAUUACUCCGACACCUCCAUACCUAGUUCAAUCUCGUUACUAGAAGGUCUCUUAACUUGUUCCGUAAUGGAAGAUACUGUGGCUAACGCAUUAUUCACAUUGCUUGCAAGCUCAUUGUGAUGUUGUAUUAACGAGUGGGCACUGAGACACCUCUCCAUUAUACGGAGCGACAAAUCCCAGUCUUGAACCAUGCCAACUCAACAGACACCCUCGGAGAUACCUGUAGAGCACCUUUAUAUAUAGUCACCCAGUUACGUUGCGACGUUUGGUACGCACAAGGUAUUUCUUUGGUGUCAGUGAGUUACAAGAUGUCAUGGUCAUAGGAACAUAUACUUAACAUGCAGAAAGCGGUAGCAAUAAACAUGAUACAAUCAUAUGCUACCUUAUAGUUUGGGUCUUUUCCAUCACAUCAUUCUUCCAAUGAUGUGAUCCCGUUAUCAAAUGAAAACUCACGUCUAUGGCUAGGAAAUCACAACCAUCUUUGAUCAAUGAGCUAGUCCGGUAGAGACUUUCUAGGGACAUGUUGUUGUCUAUGUAUCCACACAUGUAUUUGAGUUUCCGGUCAAUACAAUUAUAGCAUGGAUAAUAAACGAUUAUCAUGAAAAGAAAAUGUAUUAAUAACCACUUUAUUAUUGCCUCUAGGGCAUAUUUCCAACAUUCUCCCACUUGCACUAGAGUCAAUAAUCUGGUAUUACAUGGUAAUGAAUCUAACACCCAUAGAGUUCUAUGUUGAUCAUGUUUUGCCCAUGGAAGAGGUUUAGUCAACGGAUCUGCAACAUUCAGAUCCGUAUGUACUUUGCAAAUUUUUAUGUACUCCUCCUUGACUGCAUCGCAGAUGAAAUUAAAGCGUCGCUUUAUGUGUCUGGUCCUCUUGUCAAACCUUGGUUCCUUGGCUAGAGCAAUGGAACCAGUGUUAUCACAAAACAGACUCAUUGGGUUCGGUGCACUGGGAACAAUUCCAAGAUCUGUCAUGAGCUGGUUCAUCCAAACACCUUCCUUCCUUGCCUCUAAGGCAGCUAUGUACUCUGCUUCACUUAUAGAAUCAGCUACCGCGCUUUGCUUGGAACUGCACCAGCUUACCGCUCCCCAUUCAGAAUGUAUACGUAUCCGGUUUGAGACUUAACAGUCAUCCGGAUCAGUGUCAAAACUUGCAUCGACUUAACUAUUUAUGAUCAGCUCCUGAUCACCUCCAUAAACGAGAAACAUUUCCUUAGUCCUUUUUAGGUACUUAAGGAUAUUCUUCACUAUUGUCCAGUGAUCCACUCCUGUAUUACUUUGAAACCUUCCGGCCAUACUUAUGGAAGGAUGACAUCCGGUCUUGUGCACAACAUCUCAUACAUGAUAGCGCCUAUGACGGAAGCAUUAGGGAUGACACUCAUCUUUUAUCUAUCCUCUGUAGUUGCUGGGUAUUGAGUCUGACUCAACUUCACACCUUGCAAAAUAGGCAAGAUCCCCUUCUUGGACUGAUUCAUUUUGAACUUCUUCAAAAUCUUAUCAAGGUAUGUGCUUUGUGCAAGUCCUAUCAAGCGUCUUGAUCUAUCUCUAUAGAUUUUGAUGCCUAAUAUGAAAGAAAUUUCUCCUAGGUCCUUCACGUUUCCCAAAAGUUCUAUAUGGUUUCCAAUCAGCAAUAUGUCAUCCACACAUAAUAUUAGAAAUGCUAUAGAGCUCCUACUCACUUUCUUGUAAAUACACGAUUCUUUGAAAAAUUGUAUAAACCCAAACGCUUUGAUCACCUCAUCAAAGCGAAGAUUCCAACUCCGAGAUGCUUGCACCACUCCAUAAACGGAUCACUAGAGUUUGCACACUUUGUCUACAUUCUAUGGAUCGACAAAACCUUCUGGUUGCAUCAUAUAUAACUCUUCCUUAAGGAAACCAUUAAGGAACGUUGUUUUGCCAUCCAUCUGCAAGAUUUCAUAAUCGAAAAAUUCAGCUAUUGCCAACAUGAUUCUGGCAAACUUAAGCAUCGCUACGGGUGAGAAAGUCUCAUCGUAGUCAACUCCUUGAACUUGUGAAAACCGCAUUUCCACAAGUCAAGUUUUAUAGACGGUGACAUUACCGUCCGCGUUUGUCUUCUUCUUGAAGAUCCAUUUAUUCUGAAUGGCCUUUCGCCCUUAAGGUAAUACUUCCAAAGUCCAUACUUUGUUUUCAUACAUGGAUCCCAUCUCGGAUUUCAUGGAUUCUAACCAUUUGUCGGAAUCCGGGCCCACCAUCACUUCUCCAUAGCUCGUAGGUUCACCAUUGUCCAACAACAUGACCUCUAAGACAGGGUUACCAUACCACACUGGAGUUGUACAUACCCUUGUCGACCUAGGAGGUUCGAUGGAUCUGAAGCUUCAUUAUCAUCAUAAUUAGCUUCCUCUUCAACUGACAUAGGUGCCACAAAAACAACUUUCUGUAUUGCGCUACUUUCUGGUUGAAGUAAAGGUUCAACAACCUCAUCAAGUUCUACCUUCCUCCCACUCAAUUCUUUCGAGAGAAAUUCUUUCUUGAGAAAGGACCAGUUCUUAGCAAGAAACACUUUGCCUUCGGAUCUGAGAUAGAAGGUAUACCCAACCGUCUCUUUUGGGUAUCCUAUGAAGACGCAUUUGUCCACUUUGGGUCUGAGCUUUUCUGGCUGAAGCCUUUUGACAUAAGCAUCGCAGCCACAAACCUUAAGAAACGACAACUUAGGUUUCUUGCCAAACCACUGUUCAUACGGUGUCAUCUCCACCGACUUAGAUGGUGCCCUAUUUAAAGUGAAUGCAUCUAUCUCUAAUGCAUAACCCCAAAAUGAUAGUGGCUGAUCAGCAAGAGAUAUCAUAGAACGCACCAUAUCCAAUUGGGUAUGAUUACGAUGUUCGGACACACCAUUACACUGUGGUGUUCCAGGUGGUGUCGUCUGUGAAACAAUUCAACAUUGUUUUAAGUGAUUGCCAGGAAUUUAAUCUUCUUAUUAUGAUGAUUCUCAAAUUCACUCUAAAAUUGCUUGAACUUUUCAAACGUCUUAGACUUGUGCUUCAUUAAGUAAAUAUAUCCAUAUCUACUUAAAUCAUCGGUGAAGGUGAGAAAGUAACGAUAUCCACCGUGUGCGUCAAUGCUCAUCGGACCACACACAAUAGUAUGUAGUAUUUCCAACAAGUCACUUGCCCAUUCUGUUGUUCCAGAAAACAGGGUCUUAGUCAUCUUGCCUGUUAGGCACGGUUCACAUGUGUCAAGUGAUUCCAAAAGUCCAUCAGCAUGGAGUUUGUUCAUGCGCUUUACACCAAUAUGACCUAAGCGGCAGUGCCACAAGAAAGUGGUACUAUCAUUAUGAACUCUAUAUCUUUUGGCAUCAAUCUUAUGAACAUGUGUCUCAUCACUAUCGAGAUUCAGUAAGUCUAAACUCCUCAUAAUGGGUGCAUGAACAUAAAAGAUAUUACCCAUAUAAAUAGAACAACCAUUAUUCUCUGAUUUCAAUGAGUAACCACCUCACAUUAAACAAGAUCCAUAUAUAAUGUUCAUGCUCAACACAGGCACUAAAUAACAAUUAUUCAGGUUCAUGACUAAUCCCGAUGGUAAUCGAAGUGCAAGCGUGCCGACGGAGAUCACAUCAACCUUGGAACUAUUUCCCACGCGCAUGAUAACCCACAAGUAUAGGGGAUCAUUUGUAGCCUUCUUCGAUAAAUAAGAGUGUCGAACCCAACAAGGAGCUAAAGGUAGAACAAAUAUUCCCUCAAGUUCUAUCAACCACCGAUACAAAUCUACACACACUUGAAGUUGCAUUACCUAAAACAAGUAUAAAACUAUUUUGCAAGAAUCAAACUACGAGUGCUUUGCGAGAAUGAAACUACGAAUAAAUUGCAAGGUAAUAAAAGUGGAUAGAUUUUGUCAACAAGAAAUUCAUUUGUUCCAAGGCAAUCGAUAACAAGUACCAGUAAUCAUUCUUGUAAUUUUAUAUGAGGGAGAGGCAUGAGAUAACAUACUUUCUCUACUUGGAUCAUAUGCACUUAUGAUUGGAAAGCAUCCGGAACUACUAAAGAUCAUUAAGGUCAUGAAACCCAACCCUAGCAUUAAGUAUCAAGUCCUCUUUACUCGCAUACGCCAUGACCCACUUAUCCGUGUUUAGGCAGCUGUCAUCCCCCGCAACAUUGACAAUAAGCAAACCAUGAACAUAUUGCAACAACCUAUAGUGGGGCCCCUCACGUUUUCGCGAUACGGAGGUUACUGUAGAAAAAUACCAUAAAUAAAAUAUACAAUCAUACCAACCAAGAUCACGAUUAACCCAUAGGACAAAACAGAUGUACACAAACAUCAUAGCAUAAUCAUAGAUCAUUGGGAAAUAAUAUAUGGAUUUGAGCGCCGUGUUUAAGUAGAGAUUACAUCGAGGAGAAGGGGUGUUACACCACUGCAUAGAGGGUGAGAGAGUUGGUAUUGAUGGUAGCAAGAUUGUUGGUGUAGAUCGCCGUCACGAUCCUUGCCCCGGUGGCACUCCAGCGCCACCGGGAGAGAGGGAGAGAGAGCUGUUGGAAAUAUGCCCUAGAGGCAAUAAUAAAAGGAUUAUUAUUAUAUUUCCUUGUUCAUGAUAAUUGUAUUUAUUCAUGCUAUAACUUUAUUAUCCGGAAAUCGUAAUACAUGUGUGAAUACAUAGACCAUAAUAUGUCCCUAUUAAGCUUCUAGUUGACUAGCUCGUUGAUCAAUAGAUAGUCAUGGUUUCCUGACUAUAGACAUUAGAUGUCGCUGAUAACGGGAUCACAUCAUUAGGAGAAUGAUGUGAUGGACAAGACCCAAUCCCAAGCAUAGCACAAGAUCGUGUAGUUCGUUUGCUAGAGGUUUUCCAAUGUCAAGUAUCUUUUCCUUAGACCAUGAGAUCGUGUAACUCCCGGAUACCGUAGGAGUGCUUUGGGUGUACCAAACGUCACAACGUAACUGGGUGAUUAUAAAGGUGCACUACAGGUAUCUCCAAAAGUGUCUGUUGGGUUGACACGGAUCGAGACUGGGAUUUGUCACUCCGUAUGAUGGAGAGGUAUCUUUGGGCCCACUCGGUAAUGCAUCAUCAAAAUGAGCUCAAAGUGACCAAGUGUUUGGUCACGGGAUCAUGCAUUACGGUAUGAGUAAAGUGACUUGCCGGUAACGAGACUGAACGAGGUAUUGGGAUACCGAUGAUCGAGUCUCGGGCAAGUAACGUACCGAUUGACAAAGGGAAUUGUAUACGGGGUUGAUUGAAUCCUCGACAUCGUGGUUCAUCCGAUGAAAUCAUCGUGGAACAUGUGGGAGCCAACAUGGGUAUCCAGAUCCUGCUGUUGGUUAUUGGCCGGAGAGCUGUCUCCGUCAUGUCUGCAUGAUUCCCGAACCCGUAGGGUCUACACACUUAAGGAUCGGUGAUGCUAGGGUUAUUAGGAAGACUAGUAUGUGAUUAACGAAUGUUGUUCGGAGUAUCGGAAAGUUUCGGGGGCAUAUCGGUAUUGUACCGGGGCCACCGCAGGGGUUCCAGGGGUCCACCGGGAGGGGCCACCUCUCUCGGAGGGCCUCAUGGACCGUAGGGGGCAGGGAACCAGCCCCUGGAGGGCUGGGCGCCCCCCCUUGGGCCCAUGCGCCUAGGGUUGGCGGGGAAACCCUAGUGGGGGGCGCCCCCCUUGCUUGGGGGGCAAGCCCCCUCCCUUGGCCGCCGCCCCCCCUCUAGAUCUCAUCUAGAGGGGGCUGGCCCCCUUCCCCCUUCCCCUAUAAAUAGAGGGGCGAGGGGAGGGCUGCACACCACAUCCAAGGCGCAGCCCCUCCCCUCCCUAACACCUCUCCUCCUCCGUUAAGAGCUUGGCGAAGCCCUGCCGGAGUACUGCAUCUCCACCACCACCACGCCGUCGUGCUGCUAUUGGAGCCUUCUUCCUCAACCUCUCCUUCCCCCUUGCUGGAUCAAGAAGGAGGAGACGUCAUCUUCUCCGUACGUGUGUUGAACGUGGAGGUGCUGUCCGUUCAACACUUGGUCAUCGGUGAUUUGGAUCACGGCGAGUACGACUCUAUCAUCCCCGUUCUCUUGAACGCUUCCCCAACAAGGGUAUGUAGAUGCACUCCUAUCACUCAUUGCUUAGAUGAACUCAUAGAUGGAUCUUGGUGAAACCGUAGGAAUUUUUUUAAUUUUCUGCAACGUUCCCCAACACUGGUAUCAAAGCUAGGUCUAUGCGUAGUUCUCUAUUGCACGAGUAGAACACAAUUUUGUUGUGGGCGUAGAUGUUGUCAACUUUCUUUCCGUUACUAGUCUUAUUUUGCUUCAGCGGUAUUGUGGGAUGAAGCGGCCCGGACCGACCUUACACGUACACUUACGUGAGACAGGUUCCACCGGCUGACAUGCACUAGUUGCAUAAGGUGGCUAGCGGGUGUCUGUAUCUCCCACUUCAGUUGGAGCGGAUUCGACGAAAAGGGUCCUUAUGAAGGGUAAAUAGAAGUUGACAAAUCACGUUGUGGUUUUUCGUAGGUAAGAAAACGUUCUUGCUAGAACCCUAUUGCAGCCACGUAAAAGAUGCAACAACAAUUAGAGGACGUCUAACUUGUUUUUGCAGCAAUUGCCUUGUGAUGUGAUAUGGCCAAAAGUUGUGAUGAAUGAUGAAUGAUAUAUUCUGAUGUAUGAGAUCAUGUUCUUGUAAUAGGAAUCACGACUUGCAUGUCGAUGAGUAUGACAACCGGCAGGAGCCAUAGGAGUUGUCUUUAUUUUUUGUAUGACCUGCGUGUCAUUGAAGAACGCCAUGUAAAUUACUUACUUUAUUGCUAAACAGGUUAGCCAUAGAAGUAGAAGUAGUCAUUGGCAUGACAACUUCAUGAAGACACGAUGAUGGAGAUCAUGAUGAUGGAGAUCAUGGUGUCAUGCCGGUGACGAAGAUGAUCAUGGAGCCCCGAAGAUGGAGAUCAAAGGAGCUAUAUGAUAUUGGCCAUAUCAUGUCACUAUUAUAUAAUUGCAUGUGAUGUUUAUUAUGUUUAUGCAUCUUGUUUACUCAGAACGACGGUAGUAAAUAAGAUGAUCCCUUAUAACAAUUUCAAGAAAGUGUUCUCCCCUAACUGUGCGCCGUUGGUAAAGUUCAUCGUUUCGAAGCACCACGUGAUGAUCGGGUGUGAUAGAUUCUUACAUUCACAUACACUAGGUGUAAGACAGUUUUACUCAUGCAAAAACACAGAGGGUUAACUUGACGAGCCUAGCAUGUACAGACAUGGCCUCAGAACACAGAGACCGAAAGGUCGAACAUGAGUCGUAUGGAAGAUACGAUCAACAUGGAGAUGUUCACCGAUGAGGACUAGUCCGUCUCACGUGAUGAUCGGGCACGGCCUAGUCGACUCGGAUCGUGUAACACUUAGAUGACUAGAGGGAUGUUAAAUCUGAGUGGGAGUUCAUUAGAUAAUUUGAUUAGAUGAACUUAAUUAUCAUGAACUUAGUCUGAAACCUUUACAAAUAUGUCUUGUAGAUCAAAUGGCCAACGCUCAUGUCAGCAUGAACUUCAACGCGUUCCAAGAGAAAACCAAGCCAAAAGAUGAUGGCAGCAACUAUAAGCACUGGGUCCGGAACCUAAGGAUCAUCCUCAUAGCUGCCAAGAAAGCAUAUGUCCUAGAUGGACCGCUAGGUGAAGCACCGAUCCCAGAGAACCAAGACGUUAUGAAUGCUUGGCAGUCACGUGCUGGUGAUUACUCCCUCGUUCAGUGCGGCAUGCUUUACAGCCUAGAACCGGGGCUCCAAAAGCGUUUUGAGCAAUACGGAGCAUAUGAGAUGUUCGAGGAGCUGAAAAUGGUUUUCCAAGCUCAUGCCCUGGUCGAGAGAUAUGAAGUCUCCAACAAGUUCUAUAGUUGUAAGAUGGAGGAAAAUAGUUCUGUCAGUAAGCACAUACUCAAAAUGUCUGGGUUGCACAACCGCCUGUCCCAACUGGACAUUAACCUCCCGCACAAGGCGGUCAUUGACAGAAUCCUUCAGUCGCUCCCACCGAGCUACAAGAGCUUUGUGAUGAACUACAAUAUGCAGGGGAUGGUGAAAACUAUUCCUGAAGUAUUUUCAAUGCUGAAGUCGGCAUAGGUAGAAAUCAAGAAAGAAUAUCAAGUGUUGAUGGUCAAUAAAACCACCAAGUUCAAGAAGGGCAAGGGUAAGAAGAACUUCAAGAAGGAUGGCAAGGAUGUUGCCGGGAAGAAGUCAAGGAAUGGACCCAAGCCUAAGACUGAGUGCUUUUAUUGCAAGGGGAAGGGUCACUGGAAGCGGAACUGCCCCAAAUACUUAGCGGACAAGAAGGCCGGCAACACUAAAGGUAUAUUUGAUAUACAUGUAAUUGAUGUGUACCUUACCAGUACUCGUAGUAACUCCUGGGUAUUUGAUACCGGUGCCAUUGCUCAUAUUUGUAACUCACAGCAGGAGCUUCGGAAUAAGCGGAGACUGGCGAAGGACGAGGUGACGAUGCGCGUCGGGAAUGGUUCCAAGGUCGAUGUGAUCGCCGUCGGCACGCUACCUCUACAUUUACCUACGGGAUUAGUUUUAAACCUUAAUAAUUGUUAUCUAGUGCCAAGUUUGAGCAUGAACAUUGUAUCUGGAUCUCGUUUGACACGAGAUGGCUACUCAUUUAAAUCCAAGAAUAAUGGUUGUUCUAUUUAUAUGAGAGAUAUGUUUUAUGGUCAUGCCCCGAUGGUCAAUGGUUUAUUCUUAAUGAAUCUCGAACGUAAUGUUACACAUAUUCAUAGUGUGAAUACCAAAAGAUGUAAAGUUGAUAACGAUAGUCCCACAUACUUGUGGCACUACCGCCUUGGUCACAUUGGUGUCAAGCGCAUGAAGAAGCUCCAUGCUGAUGGACUUUCAGAGUCUCUCGAUUAUGAAUCAUUUGACACAUGCGAACCAUGCCUCAUGGGCAAAAUGACCAAGACUCCGUUCUCCGGAACAAUGGAGCGAGCAACCAACUUAUUGGAAAUCAUAUGUAACGCCCCGGAUUUGAUGCGCCAGGUGUCUGCCAGUUAUUCGCCGUUGUUGCCAUGUCAUUUGCUUGCGUGUUGCAUUUUGCCAUGUCAUCAUCUGCAUUUUAUCAUGUCAUCAUGUGCAUUUCAUUUUGCAUACAUGUUCGUCUCAUGCAUCCGAGCAUUUUCCCCGUUGUCCGUUUUGGAAUCCGGCACUCCUAUGCCCUCUGGCGU
rnacentral:lncRNA from 1 species